rnacentral:rRNA from 1 species
AUUGAACGCUGGCGGCAGGCCUAACACAUGCAAGUCGAACGCGUGGCGCACGGGUGUGUAAUGUCUGGGAAAUUGCUUGAUGGAGGGGGAUAACUACUGGAAACGGUAGCUAAUACCGCAUACCAUCGGAUGUGACCAGAUGGGGUUAGCUAGUAGGUGGGGGAAAGGCUAACAAAGGCAACGAUCCAUAGCUGGUCUGAGAGGAUGGACGGCCACACUGGAACUGAGACACGGUCCAGACUCCUACGGGAGGCAGCAGGAGGGAAUAUUGCGCAAUGGGCGCAAGCCUGAUGGAGCCAUGCCGCGUGAAUGAAGAAGGCCUUCGGAUUGUAAAGUACUUUCAGCGGGGAGGCGUUACCCACACAGGAAGCACCGGCGAACUCCGUGCCAGCAGCCGCGGUAAUUC